rnacentral:lncRNA from 1 species
UGCCCUAGUUCUAACGAGCUCCCAGGCGAUACUCACGCAGAUGCUGCCAGUCAGGCAGCCAGAUUUUUAGAACGCUUACUUAAACUAUUUCACCUGUUUUCCCAGGUCACCUGCGCAGAUGGGUCCCAUGAAGGAUACACACAGAAAAAGGGCCGAAAGGAAGGGCUCAGGAUUGAGCAAAGAAUCCUGCCUAGAAGAGAAACAUGGAAACAGAUUCCAUAGGAAAACACAGAUUUAUCUACCAUUCAAUUAUAAAACAGAAGUGCAGCAAGUCGGCUGGAAAUGGUCUUGGUACCUGCUACUAGCCAGCAUGUGAACUUCUCCCCUUUGAGCAGCAUUUGAAUAAAAGCUGUGCUCAUUUUUGGAGCGCAAGGUCGAAUUAGAGAAGAUGGAUGUGAAGAUUUCUCUGAACAAAGGUCUAAGAAGUAAAGGGAGCCGGUGUUCUGUAUCAAAGUGCCUGGGAAAGACAUUCUACUGAUUUCAUUACUACAGAUUCUUCCACUUCUCUCCAUCACUCAGUGUGGGAUGGGCCAGACGUAGAAAGAUGCAGUAUCUGAAUCCUGUAAGAAGUUCCUAGGGAUGGGAAGAAGAACCUUUCUUUGGGUAUAGAAUGCAGUGUCCUAAUUAGCUCGAGGGAACAGUGAGGACACCCUUGAGAAAGCCAAUUCACAUCCAACGCAGAAUUCAAUUUGGCAUAGUGGAUAUCAUACUUGUUUAGGAAGGGGAUGAUAAAGAGACUUGGAUUUCGACCUUAGUUAUAAAUACCUCAUUUAUUCUUUCCUAGCCUUAGUUGUAAAUACCUCAUUUAUUCUUUAUUUUAUUCACUGUCUACUGGACUCCUAUGAUGUGACAAGUAUCGGGAAAGCCAUGAGUCAAGAAGUCAGAUUUGCCAUGGCCCUCUCUUCAUGGAGCCCCUGGGCCUGGAACAAGCGCUCUUCUUUAUGUGUUCGUUUCUCAGUCAGUAACAGGAAAAUAGAUAACUGAGUUUCCCUGAAGAAUCCCAUUCAACUCAACCAAUGUCUACCCAGCCCUUAGCUUGAUGGCAGCCAGUGUGUUUGAGGCUAGAUAGCUGGAAAGAAAAAAAGGAAUCUAAUGGUGAAUGAGAUGGGACACCCUACCUUAGAAAAAGUGC